rnacentral:rRNA from 1 species
CCUACGGGUGACAGCAGUGGGGAAUAUUGCACAAUGGGGGAAACCCUGAUGCAGCGACGCCGCGUGAGUGAAGAAGUAAUUCGUUAUGUAAAGCUCUAUCAGCAGGGAAGAAAAUGACGGUACCUGAGUAAGAAGCCCCGGCUAACUACGUGCCAGCAGCCGCGGUAAUACGUAGGGGGCAAGCGUUAUCCGGAUUUACUGGGUGUAAAGGGAGCGUAGACGGCAGUGCAAGUCUGGAGUGAAAGGCGGGGGCUCAACCUGCGUCCGCCGUUGAAACUGGCGUUCUUGAGUGGGCGAGAAGUACGCGGAAUGCGUGGUGUAGCGGUGAAAUGCAUAGAUAUCACGCAGAACCCCGAUUGCGAAGGCAGCGUACCGGCGCCCGACUGACGCUGAAGCACGAAAGCGUGGGUAUCGAACAGGAUUAGAUACCCUUGUAGUC